GACAUAAAAGUGAUCUAACUCUAUUGAUGAGCACGACAGUACAUACCAUCCCAUCAUGAUGUUGCCAUCUCUCACACUUGAUGAUUACAUCUUGUUAUUUCUAACAUGUACACCAUCGGGCCAUUGCUUUAUUAGAAAUAUAUUUACACAAUAUGAUGAGAGCAACAUCAAGGAGUCGGAUGCUGGUGCACAGAUUCUCCUCAAAUUCCACAUGCAACCCUUGUAGAGAAGAAUGACAUAUUUUUCUUAGGUGAUUUUUGACCGAGCUCCUACAGAAAAAUUCAAACAAAUCAUGAGGAGCAUGGAGCCAAGCAAACUAAUCAGAGUAAAUCAUGAGAGGAGAAGCCUCUCAACCUACUACAGGGAAUCGAGUCAACAUUAAUUCGUGUAAGAAUUAAACCGUAAUGUAGAUCAACAACCCAGUAGUUGAUAAAAUAACCCUGACACAACCCAUUAAUACAAUAUAUGGUCACAGGAAGUAGAUUGAGAUUGUGCAGAUAUCAUGAUCUACGAACCGUAUCUACGAAUAUUGAUUGCAAAGUCACAAAUAGAACCUCCUCACAUCACAAAACAAAUGUUUCAUCAACAGAAACUCUAGCGAAUGCCAAUUGGAUUAUAUAAGUAAGAUAGAGACAUCGAAAAAAAGAAAAGAUAAUUCAAAGAGUAUAUAUUCUAUUUUAUUACUUGACAUCACAGAGAAUGCAAGUCAAAGAUAUUGCGAUACAUCUUACACUUCUAUAAAUUGACUGCAAGGCACAACCCCUAGCAAAAUAUACAGAAUGAAUUGCUCCUGUGAUCCAAGUAUUGCAUAAAUAGUUGUAUACAGACUAUUCAAUAGUGAGCAUAAACAUGGCAUGUACUAACAAAAUCCCUUUGCAAUGGAGCUUAGUCUGCAUGUCUAUCCGUCUUUUUGUAAAUCAGUUGUGGCCAAGAUGUGCUGACAGCUCACAAGCCUCUCCCCGUUUACCAAUAAAACCAAAGCAGCUCAAAGCAAAAAAAAGAACAUAGAUAUAUGAACCUGAUGCAAUUGCUUGUAACUCCAGAGUGUUGGUAGAGUCGAGAAGAGAACACUCAGCCAAUGUUACAGCAGAUCGAUCUGUAGUCUUUGUUAGGGACGGCACCAUCAUUAGAGGUCCCAAUUGUAAAUCAAUCUGCAAGAGAUGGAGAUGCAACUGGAAGCUUACGGAUUUGAUGCAUUAAAACAGCCAUGGCCCAUGGGCAGAGGAGAAGUGACGGCAGCUGGGGAUCUGACGUGUCACAGACAGCAUGGGUAGAGGAGAGGCGGCGGCAGAUCAAGCCUUGGGCGUGGCAGGCGGAAGCACACUCACCCCUAUUGCACCCUUCCUACUUCCCCGUCCUUCUUCUCCUACCUCUCCUCCUCCCUGGAUCCUCCUAUGUCUCUCUUUUCUACAAGAAAAAUCGAAGCCCCGCCAUGACCUUGAGCUCCCCCUACCAACCAUAGAAAUUAGAUAUUUCCUAAUUGUUUGCAUAAAAAACAUACUGGCUGCAAGAGAAUGAAAGACUAACCUAUUGAUGAGCACAACAGUACAUACCAUCCCAUUAUGAUGUUGCCAUCUCUCACACUUGAUGAUUACAUCUUUUUAUUUCUAACAUGUACACCACCGGGCGAUUGCUUUAUUAGAAAUAUAUUUACACAAUAUGAUCAGAGCAACAUCAAGGAGUCGGAUGCUGGUGCACAGAUUCUCCUCAAAUUCCACAAGCUGAAAUUGAAGAGAAAACUGAAAGAAAGCUAUUAGUAACACCAAUUUAACCAGACACACCACACCACUAAUGACAAAAUAAAAAUUUAGAAGUUCCUAAAGAGGCCUUAUAUAUAAGAAGUGCAAGAUAGUGAUGAAACUACCAAAGCCACCAGAUCUUAGUACAGAUUAGUUAAGUAGACACUACUAUUUAGUAAGGAUGAACUAUAUUAUGGAUUUGAUUGGAAUAAGAAAAUAUCCUAUAAUAGCAUAUUAUACAAAGGCACAUAAAACAAUAAAGAGAAGUAAAAGUGGUAGUGAUGAACUUAUAAUAAUAAUAAUAAAUAGAUAGCACAUGACUCUUUUUAUACGACUUAUCAGCAGAAUCAGUGAGCCACAAUGGAGUUUUCUUGGGCUCAGGCUUUCUGCACACUGCCAUAUAGACCAAGUCAAACAUGGGUGGGCGGCCAAGAAUGUUGGGUUAUAGUUUUACAGAUAAAGAGAGGAGAAAUCACUUUGGCCUAUGAGCACAUCAUAAGAGAAGGCAACAUCACACACACAUAAGUACUUGUAACUGAAUUUAAGGAGGGCACAAUAUGUUGACAUAGGUGUGCCUACCAAAAAGAAAUGUCUAAAUGAAGAAAAAUCAAGUGUUUAGUAAUAUAAUACUACAAUGAUGAUGCAGACUAAAGUCUAAAUCAUCAAUGGUAAAUCCAUGGCACACAAAAAUUCUUCUCCAUAAUUGAUUUGCUCUCUUCAUCCAAAUGCCCAAACUCAUCACAACAUAGCAAAAUAGCCUGAAUGGAAUAAACCAUAUCUGAACCAUCAUAUGCAAUACACGAACCAUGUACUGAACUUAAUUGAUGUAUUACUACUGAACAUAGCAGAUUAGUCUCUAUGUGCAUGUAUUACUAAUUUACAGCUGAGCAGCCACUCUAAUGUAAUGAACUUAAGAACUGUUUGUUCCUCUUAAGCAACCCUGCAGUUUUCAUGAAAACUUUGGUUGUAGUGGUCCUAAAAUCACAGAUACAUGUACCUCUACAUCCACUUGGAGCUUCUUUGCAGCUUCCUCUCUAUGUUGCUAGACCAAUCUGCAGAUAAAAAAGGAUAAGGUAAAUAAUUGUUGUUUUAUUUGCCAAUAAUCAAACAACUAUGAUAUAGUAAGAAAAAAGUUAGUGGAGGUAUGGGAAGGACAAGUAGUUCUACUACACACAGAUGAUUAGGGGUCAGAGGGAAUUCAAGAUAAACCAAGACAAACUUCAAAAUUUAGUCCUAUAGUUGAACAUCAAAUUCAAAGCAAACGGGGAAGAAUCAAUGGGUCAGGGGUAAGGAUGCAACUGUGUGGGGGGGGGACAGCCCACUAAGCCGCUGCGCCGUCCCAUGAAGAAAACCCGCAAAACGGCGCCGGACCAACCACAUCAUGUCAAGCGGUCUCAAAUAGUCCAACCGCUUUGUCCAGCGGACGUCGCACAGUCUCGUGUAUCCUGCGAAAGGGAGAAAACUCUCCUGAGAAUUCCUGUCCUUCUCGACGCGAUAGAGGUGCGCGACUGUAUUGUAUAACAGGCUCAUCCAGUGUCCACAUUUCCCUAUGUGCAGUAGAAGAUAAAACUGAAUCAAAUCGAAGGUUCCCGUGCAUUGCAACUGGAUGACAAAAUAGACACAUGUGUAUACUUUGAUAAAAGAGAGUGUCAGUGUCAAAACCGGCGGAUCUCAGGUAGGGGGUCUCGAACUGUGCGUCUAGGCGGAUGGUAACAGGAGACAAGGGACACGAUGUUUUACCCAGGUUCGGGCCCUCUUGAUGGAGAUAAAACCCUACGUCCUGCUUGAUUAAUAUUGAUGAUAUGGGUAGUACAAGAGUGGAUCUACCACGAGAUCAAGGAGGCUAAACCCUAAAGCUAGCCUAUGGUAUGAUUGUUGUAAUGUAUGUUGUGUCCUACGGACUAAAGCCCUCCGGUUUAUAUAGACACCGGAGGAGGCUAGGGUUACACAGAGUCGGUUACAAUGGUAGGAGAUCUACAUAUCCGUAUCGCCAAGCUUGCCUUCCACGCCAAGGAAAGUCCCAUCCGGACACGGGACGGAGUCUUCAAUCUUGUAUCUUCGUAGUCUUGGAGUCUGGCGGAUGAUGAUAGUCCGGCUGUCCGGACACCCCCUAGUCCAGGACUCCCUCAGUAGCCCCCGAACCAGGCUUCAAUGACGAUAAGUCCAGCGCGUAUAUAGUCUUCGGCGUUGCAAGGCGGGUUCUCCCUUCAAGUUCCAUGUACCUGCCGAACAGUGUCCGGCUUCAUUAUAAAUACCGUGCUUCUUGGCUUCUACGCCCAAUAAUGGCCCUCCUCCAUGCGUCGCACGAAUGCGAAAAGCCAGGGUGUCUUUUUAUGUUUCACCCCCUAGUCGUGCGAGUCAUCCGCCUACAAAAGAGGCAAAAAUCCAGAUCCAAACCACACCAUCUUCCUUCCACGAAUACUCAUCGGAGCGCUUUUGACCUAAAAAUCCAUUCCAUCAUGGACCGUCGACGCGGCUCCUCUUCUCGCACUCCCAGCCCACAACCUGGAGAUUGGAAGAGGUGCUCUGUUACACACGACGAGCUAGUAAAGCUCCAAGCGGGGGGAUAUCUCCCUCCGGCCUUCAUGGUCCCGGUUCGAGCCGGGCUAGCCACCUACCAAGGUGGGAAGCAAGCGGAGGCUACCCCAAGUCCCAACAAAGGGGAGCGGGUAUGCUUCGUCCCCUAUCUGAUAAGUGGACUCGGAUUUCCAAUUCAUCCGUUCCUCCGCGGGCUCCUAGAGUUCUACGGACUCCAGCUCCAUCACCUUACGCCCGCCUCUGUCCUGCAUAUCGCGGGCUACGUAGCUCUUUGCGAGCUAUUCCUGGGCAUUGAGCCCCAUUUUGCACUGUGGAAGAGGCUGUUCUGCCUCGUGCCCCGUUCUCACGAGGGAUCUAUAUAUCAAGUGGGCGGCGCCGAAAUAUGGCGCAUUGCUGGGACCGGAUACCCAUCCGAUACCCCUAAGAAGGCGUCCGAAGACUGGCCUUCGGAGUGGUUUUAUAUAGAAGACGCUCCGCUGCCAGACCCAGUCCGGAUUGGCCUCCCGGAGUUUAGUGCUGCUCCUCUGAAGAAACGCCUCAGCUGGCGACCGCGGAGCCCCCGAUUGGAGGAAGACAAGAGCGUCCAUUACCUGAUGGGCCGAAUAAGAUUACUGGCCCAUUCCGGGUUGACCAUGAUUGGAGUCAUGACAACAUGCAUCAUGCGGGGGGUACAGCCAUUGCAAUACAGAGGCCACCCCAUGUGGGAUUUCAACGGGGAAGACGAUGCCACCCGUCAUGGCCGCGAAGGGCCGGAUUUGACCGAGGAUCUGGUGGAGAUCCUGUCCGGCCUGUACAAGGGGGAGAAGGAGGACUUCCUUCGAACGAACCCCUUGAAUGGGUUUUCCAUGAACAACCCCAGAGGCUGGGUAAGCGAACACUUUUAGGGGUUCAACCCAUGCUUUCGAAGUUUAGGCUUCUUACAUUAUGUCUUCGGCGCAGGAUCUACGCCGGACUGUGGAGGACAUGGUAAGUCCCGCUCCUCAACCCGAGGAUCCAGAAAGAUCCCGAGAUCCGGCCUCCGAAGAGGAUCCGGACAUCAAGGUGGAGCUGAUCGACGGGGUGUUUUACCAGCUUAGCAUGGACAAUGCUUUGGUCGCCAUUACGGCGGACUACCCCGGAUUAUAUCCGGCUUCCCAGGUGAUUGUGACCGAGGUUCGAACACCAUUAUCUCUUCCUUGCCCAUUUCUGACCUUCAUGAACGAUGGUGUUUUACAGGAAGCACCUUCAAGGCGGGAAGCCGAGCCCGCGGCGGCUGACCAACAAAGGUCAGUCCGGACCAGCAGGCGGAAAAGGAGCGCGGUACGGACUGAGACAUCGCCGCAAAGGUAUAGCUCGUAUUUUGAAUAUCCAGAGCAACGUUCCUAGGAAGCGUCUGAGUGCUCAAUAUCCUUUAUAGGAGAAAAAGCGCCCACCGAACUGCGGGCAUAGAGGUUGCCAAUCCAGCCUAUACCAGCCAGGCUCCAGCGCCUGGUCAGGAGGGGGAGGCAAGCGCAAGGCGCGGGCCGGAUACUCCUCCGACGGAGGAUGCCGACCGACUGUCCGCCACCAAGUCUGAGGUGGAGAGCGCCAUGAACCACAGGCGCCGCCGGACAGUAUUUCGUGAAGCGUGCUUCUCCCCUGAGGCAUUGGACGCCUUUAACGCAGGGGACGCGCACCUCCGUGCUGCUCAAGACGGUUUUACCAGAGCCACGGAGCAGUAUGUAAAAGAUAUACGGGUAAGGGAAUUUUAAUGGUUAUAUAUACCAGUAGCCCCCGAGACUUAAAGUAGUUAUGUUAACUGAUUUAAGGAUCAUUUGAAACGCAGGCUCUUACCGAGAAGAAUACCCAGCUGUCUCAGGAGCUGCAAGAAUGCAAGGCCCAACUUGAGGCCGCGCUUGCUGCCGCAGGAGGAAACGCAGAGGCCCCUCCUGGUAACACAUUUUUAUUAAUAAAUAUAAGCGAUGUGCGGCGUGCGCACAAGUCUAAUAAUGACAUUGCAGGUGCCGCCGGACAAGAUCUAGACAGGCAAGUAUUACUGCGCCAGCUAAAGGCCGGCGAGAGUGUGCUGAAUAGGGUGCAGCAAGAAAGGAACAGGCUCCAGGAUGCCAACGCCAAGCUCGGAGAAGAGCUGAAAGGCGCUCGAGCCGAGCUGUCCGGCUCCGUUAAGGAGAAUCAGCGGCUUCGCCGCGGCAUUUAUAGUAAGUGCUUGAGCGGACUCCUUUAAAAAGAAGAGUUCGGCGAAGAAGCAAAUUGACAUAGUAUGACUUGUAGGUAUACUCACAGGUCGCCCUGCGGAGGAGAUGCCCAUAUCAACGGGUGAUCAACUUCCCGAGCUGUUGCAGCUGCUCGAACGAGUUCGGCAGGCAAUGAGCAGCGUCGUCCAGGCUUUAUGGCCUGCUCUCUCCCUACCCGAAGGCCUUAGGGAGCUUGCGGAGAAGCUUCAGGGAGUGCGGCAGCGCUUCCGUUUGUGGAAGAUUUCGGCUUGCCAUUAAGGUGCCAGGGAGGCUUGGGCCAUGGUGAAGACGCGUUACAAGAAGGCGGAUCCCAACCACAUGGCCGAAGUUGGACCUGUGGGGCCCGAUGGGAAGGAGAUCCCUGUGAGUUUAGUAUACAGCCAGGUAGAGUUGGCUGCUAAAUUUUCCCAACGGGACUGUAAAUUAGACAGACUGUUAGAUGGGAUUGAGGAGGAAUACAAUCAGUAAAUUUGACAAUGUAUUUGUUUUAAAAUGACAUGUGAAAUGCCUUCUAGCCGGAUUGUAGAUCGUUUGUCUUUGCCGACCUUUUCGCUUCAACCUCGGGACCCUAGAGUCCGGAGUGUGUCCGAAUACCUUUUUUGGUUAAGAAACAACCGGGGUAUGCAUGGAGACCAGGCGUAGGGGUCAUUAGUGCUUUAUCAGACAAGUGCCCAACUAGUUAUGUUAUAUUACAUGGUUAGUAAGAAACAUCUUCCAGGGAGAAUAGUUCCGUUAAGGGUUCCUUUCCUUGGGAGGCAUGCCCUAAAGUGCAUGUCCGGACUGCGAAAAAAGCAGGAAAACAUCUGGGGGCAGAUAAAUAAAUAGGUAAAAAAAUCAUCUUUCAAGUCACCGACCGAAUAUUCCCUUAAGAACGCUAGCUUUCGGCUUCACCCAGUCUGAGGUACACAUCCGGCUGACCCGGCAGUAACAAUCACAGAGGUGCUCCCUUUACCUCCUAGCCGAACAAUCGGGAACGUAGGGGUAAGCACAGGAGCCAGGCAACCCAGCUUGGCCAAAACUUAAGUCAUAUCGAUGCAUAUAAUGGUGAGUGAAAGGUACAUGUGGAAGCUUGACACAUGUGCUGGGCAUGAAGCCCUUAUAAUUGAGCUUCUGGAAAAUAAGCCCCCAGGUAUAAUGAGUGCGGAUGGCACAUCAAGUGUACGCAAACAAUGCGGAAGUAGGCCCGCAAGGGCUUUUUAGUAAAAAGGUUAGGGGAAGAAAGAGAAACAAAAGACAGCUGGAGUGUAAAAAUUUGAACGGAGGAAGGGGACGAACUCUUAGUCCGGCGCUAGGCAUAGAAUCUUCGGAGGCGGGCUGCGUUCCAUGGGUUCGGCUCGAGUCGGUUGUCCGACGCAUUUCGUAGACGGUACGCUCCGCCAGUCAGGACUUGAUCGAUAAUGAAGGGACCCUCCCAUUUGGGCUUGAGCUUGUCCUUUUUCUUGUCCGGCAGGCGUAGAACUAGUUCGCCAAUGUUGUAAGUCUUGGCCCGUACUUCUCUGCUUUGAUAUCUUCAGGCCUGCUGCUGAUAGAAUGCGGAACGAGCCUUGGCGACGUCGUGUUCCUCCUCCAAUGUAUCCAAGCUGUCCUGCCGAUCCAGCUCGGUCUCUCUUUCUUCGUACAUGCGCACUCGAGGUGAGUCAUGAAUAAUGUCGCAGGGCAGAACUGCCUCUGCGCCGUAUACCAUAAAAAAUGGUGUGAAUCCGGUAGUACGGUUAGGCAUUGUCCGUAGCCCCCAGAGUACGGAGUCGAGCUCCUCAACCCAGUGCGUGUCAGAUUUAGUAAGUGACCGCACUAGUCUGGGUUUAAUGCCGCUCAUUAUUAGACCAUUUGCUCGUUCCACUUGACCGUUGGUUUGAGGGUGAUAGACUGAAGCGUAGUCGAGCUUGAUGCCCAUAUUUUUGCACCAUGACUUAACCUCAUCGGCCGUGAAGUUCGUGCUGUUGUCGGUGAUGAUGCUGUGGGGGACUCCGUAACGGUGUACUACCCCGGAUGUAAAGUCUAUCACUGGUCCGGACUCUGCCGUUUUGACCGGUUUGGCCUUUAUCCAUUUGGUGAAUUUAUCCACCAUGACCAAUAGGUUCCUUUGCUUGUGGGUUCCCCCUUUAAGGGGUCCAACCAUAUCAAGCCCCCAGACCGCGAACGGCCAGGUAAUGGGUAUAGUUUUGAGGGCGGUGGGCGGCAUAUGGCUCUGAUUAGCAAAGAGCUGACAACCUACGCAUCUCUGGACUAAGUCCUGGGCAUCUUCCCGGGCCGUCGGCCAAUAAAAUCCUGUACGGAAUGCCUUUCCUACAAGGGCCCGGGCUGCUGCGUGGUGUCCGCCUAGUCCGGCAUGAAUUUCAGCCAGGAGGUUUCGCCCCUCCUCUUCGGAGAUACACCUUUGAAGGACUCCGGUUGUACUUUUCUUAUAAAGUUCUCCCUCAUGGACCUUGUAGGCCUUCGAUCGCCGGACUAUGCAGCAGGCCUCAUUUUGGUCUUCGGGAAGUUCCUGUCUAAGCAGAUAGGCUAGGAAUGGUUCCAUCCACGGGGCAAUUACUGCCAUUAUGUCGUGGGCUGAAGGUGUUAUGUCAUCGGCUGAAUCGCCGGUUGGCGCGGUUGUUUCCGGUUUGUCAUUUCCGGAUUCCUCUUUGCAUAGUACGGAUGGCUUGAAGAGCCGUUCCAGGAAGAUAUUUGGAGGGUCAUCAUCACGUUUCACACCGAUGCGUGCCAGUACAUCGGCCGCUUGGUUGUUAUCUCGGGCUAUGUGAUGGCAUCGAGUCCUUUAAACCGAGCUGACAUUUUUAGGACAGCGUUGCGAUAUGCUGCCAUUUUCGGAUCCUUGGCGUCAAAUUCUCCAUUUAUUUGGGAUAUUGCAAGGUUUGAAUCCCCUCGCACCUCAAGGCGUUGAAUGCCCAUGGAGACUGCCAUCCGGAGACCAUGUAACAGGGCCUCGUAUUCGGCUGUGUUGUUGGAGUCCGUGUACAUUAUUUGAAGUACAUACUGGACUGUGUCCCCGGUUGGGGACGUCAAUACGACGCCAGCCCCCAGUCCGGCCAACAUUUUAGAGCCGUCGAAAUGCAUAAUCCAACUGGAGUAUGCGCCGUACUCUUUAGGGAGUUCGGCCUCGGUCCAUUCAGCGACGAAGUCAGCCAAAACUUGUGACUUUAUAGCUCGCCGAGGUUUGUAAGUUAUAUCGAAUGGUAAGAGCUCAAUGGCCCAUUUUGCAAUCCUGCCCGUUGCGUCACGGUUAUUUAUGAUGUCAUUGAGUGGUACUUCGGAAGCCACUAUUAUCGAACACUCUUGAAAGUAGUGUUGGAGCUUCCGGGAUGCCAUGAACACCGCAUACGCUAUCUUCUGAUAGUGUGGGUAACAGGAUUUGCAGGGAGUUAACACAGUGGAUACAUAAUACACUGGUUUUUGAAGAGGGAAUUUAUGCCCUUCUGUCUCUCAUUCGACGACGAGUACCGCGCUUACGACUUGAUGCAUUGCUGCGAUGUAUAACAACAUUGGUUCGCCUAGAUUGGGCGCAGCCAGGACCGGAUUUGUUGCCAAUAUGGCCUUUAUUUCUUCGAGUCCGGCAGUGGCAGCAUCCGUCCACUCGAAGUGUUCGGUGCGCCUGAGGAGGUGAUAGAGGGGCAAUGCCUUUUCUCCUAGACGGGAGAUAAAGCGGCUUAAAGCUGCCACGCAUCCUGUUAAUUUUUGUAUCUGUUUGAGGUCUUUUGGAAUAUCCAACUGUGACAGAGCUCGGAUUUUAGUCGGGUUUGCUUCAAUUCCUCUACCGGAUACAAUGAAGCCCAGCAGCUUUCCGGCUGGUACGCCGAAAACGCAUUUUUCCGGAUUCAGCUUGAUGUCAUAUGCUCUGAGGUUGUCGAAUGUGAGCCUCAAAUCGUCUACUAGAGUUUCGACGUGUUUUGUUUUGACAACUACGUCGUCUACGUAUGCCUCGACUGUUUUGCUGAUCUGGGUAGCCAGACAUGUUUGAAUCAUGCGCUGAUAUGUUGCGCCGGCAUUUUUAAGUCCGAAGGGCAUCGUGUUGAAGCAGAAUGGUCCGUAUGGAGUGAUGAAUGCCGUUGCGGCUUGGUCUGCUUCCGCCAUCUUGAUUUGAUGGUAGCCAGAGUAUGCGUCGAGGAAGCACAAUGAAUCGUGCCCUGCGGUAGCAUCGAUAAUUUGGUCGAUGCGGGGGAGGGGGAAGGGAUCCUUUGGGCAAGCCUUGUUGAGGUCUUUAAAAUCGACGCAUAGGCGCCAGGAUUUGUCCUUCUUUGGUACCAUUACCGGAUUUUCUAGCCAAUCCGGAUGUUUGAUAUCUCUAAUGAAUCCGGCUUCCAAUAGUUUGGCUAGCUCUUCUCCCAUUGCCUGUCUUUUGGGUUCGGAAAAUCGUCGAAGAGCCUGUUUGACUGGCUUGAAUCCUUUUAGGAUGUUUAGGCUAUGUUUUGCCAGUCUGCGUGGGAUUCCGGGCAUGUCCGAAGGAUGCCAGGCGAAAAUGUCCCAAUUUUCCCGAAGGAAUUCGUGCAGUGCGGCGUCUACCUCGGGGUUUAAUUGUGCCCCAAUGGAGGCCGUCUUUGUUGGGUCCGUUGGAUGGACCUGGAAUUUCACUAUUUCAUCUGCUGGUUUGAAGGAGGUGGACUUGGAUCUUUUAUCAAGUAUCACAUCGUCCCUGUUUACUGUAGAGCGCAGCGCGGUGAGUUCUUCUGCCGCUAGGGCCUCGGAUAGUGCCUCCAGGGCUAGUGCGGCUGUCUAGUUUUCGGCGCGGAGUGCUAUGUCCGGAUCACUAGGGAGAGUGAUUAUUCCGCCGGGCCCAGGCAUUUUGAGCUUCAUAUACCCGUAAUGGGGUACGGCUUGAAAAACUGUGAAUGCCUCUCGUCCUAAUAUAGCGUGAUAUCCGCUGUUGAACGGGGCCACUUGGAGCGUGACUUCUUCAGAUUUGUAAUUGUCGGCGAGCCGAACACCACAUCGAGUGUGAUUUUUCCGGUGCAGCGUGCUUCCUGGCUAGGGAUUAUUCCUCUGAAGGUUGUGCUGCUUCGCUCAAUACGGCUCCAAUCGAUUUCCAUUUUUUGAAGAGUUUCCUCAUAGAUGAGGUUUAGUCCGCUGCCGCAUCCAUGAGGACCUUUGUAAGUCGAAAGCCGUCCACUAUGGGACUGAGCACCAGUGCGGCUGGUGCUCGGGCUGUUUGGAAUUUAGGUUCAUCGCUGGCGUUGAAGGUGAUAGUUGUGUCGCUCCAUGGAUUUGCUGCUGCUACUUGGUAGACUUCGGCGAGGCCGCGGAUUGUUCGUUUUCGCAUAUUGUUUGAUGCGAAGGUCUCGAAGACUGUUGAUACCGUACCAGUAUUGUGGGAGUGGUUUUCCGGGGCUAGAAGCUCCUCGCCACUUUUGGCCACCUGCCGUAAUAUCCAACAUGCUCGAAGGCUAUGUGUUGGGACGGCUCCCUCUGUGCUGUGAAGCUUACAGGGUCCUUCGAGCCAUCCCUCUAGUACGGUUUCGUGCCCUUUAUGGGGCUUUUGCUUUUUGGUUUUUGCAUCUGGGGCCUGAGUAUGGUGCGCCCUUUUGUUGCGGACUGGGGUUGUAUUCGGGGCCGGAUUAUCCCAAAAUUGGUUUUCGGUUUUCCGGGAACUCUCCAUCGCACAGUACUUUCGUACUAUGGACGCCAGAUCGGUGAAGCGUGUAAUUUUACGACGGCCGAUGGCGUUCAAUAUUCCCUUGUCCGUGCAAUUAUUGCAAAAGAUUUUGAUUGCGUUUUCCUCUCGGCAGUCCUUUAUCCUGUCCAUAACCAGGAGGAAUCUGGCCCAGUAGUGAUGUACUGUUUCAGCGGGCUCUUGCCGUAUUAGAGAUAGAUCGCAUAUGUCUGGGCGGGUGGGUGGACUAAAAUCCGGAUCCCUGCCCAUAUUGGGGCUUAAAGGCCGAGGAGUUUCCGAAUUCGGAAGCUUGGGUUGCUGGACACAAUCCAGCGAGUCCGGAACGAUGCAUGAUUUUAAGUUCAAUGCUCGAUCGAAGUCCGUCCCUCCGCAGAAAUCCGGCAUGGAGGGUUCGGGAAUCCGGACGUGACUAGUUUUCAAUAUAGGCGAAGAGUCGCCGCAUUGUUCCUCUACCACUGCGACGUGGUGGGUGGCCUGGGGAGAGUUAAUCUCUCUCAGAUCGGUUUUAAGCCCAAUCUGAUUGUAGUCUGUAGCAACUCCCAGGGCUGCGAUGCGAUCCAAGAGCUCGUUGAUAGACGAGAGCUCCAUUGGAUCCAGCCGCUCGGCAAAUUCCGAGCUGACGCGUAUAUUGCUUUUGACGACUUGGGAAGUCAUUGUCGAAGCAGUGGCCGGACAGGCGGUCAUAAGAAAACCGCCUAGCCGGAUAGUUUGGCCGGUGGCCAAGGCCUCUUUGGCGAAAAUACCGUCUUUGAAGACGGGUGGAGGCAUCCUUCCUAUCGGCGACGACACAGAGGAACUCUCAAUGAAAGCACCAAUGUCGGUGUCAAAACCGGCGGAUCUCGGGUAGGGGGUCCCGAACUGUGCGUCUAGGCGGAUGGUAACAGGAGACAAGGGACACGAUGUUUUACCCAGGUUCGGGCCCUCUCGAUGGAGGUAAAACCCUACGUCCUGCUUGAUUAAUAUUGAUGAUAUGGGUAGUACAAGAGUGGAUCUACCACGAGAUCAAGGAGGCUAAACCCUAAAGCUAGCCUAUGGUAUGAUUGUUGUAAUGUAUGUUGUGUCCUACGGACUAAAGCCCUCCGGUUUAUAUAGACACCGGAGGAGGCUAGGGUUACACAGAGUCGGUUACAAUGGUAGGAGAUCUACAUAUCCGUAUCGCCAAGCUUGCCUUCCACGCCAAGGAAAGUCCCAUCCGGACACGGGACAGAGUCUUCAAUCUUGUAUGUUCGUAGUCUUGGAGUCCGGCGGACGAUGAUAGUCCGGCUGUCCGGACACCCCCUAGUCCAGGACUCCCUCAGAGAGCAUCAUGCAUAUUCUGCAUACAACUUUAUUUUAAACAAAACAUAGUCGUGGAAAUUGCUAAGCUACUGGCUAUGUCCUGAAUAUACUGAAAUUGACUUCCCUGGAUUAAUGGCCUCAAGGUGGGCGCAAGUUCUGCAUGUUGAUCCAGCACAGAAAAGUCAUUACCCCUAAUAUUUGAUAGAGACAAAGGCACCGACACAGGAUCAUCGCAAAGCAAAAUCCAUUUUUAUCACCAACAAGAAAUGAAGAAACAAAUUAUUGGUGCUUCCUUUCUCUGUAGUUCUGAACCACUACUUGCAUUGUGUGGAUAACAGGUAACUUACAUAUAACAAGAAUGCUUUAUAAUUUGGAAGUAUAUGAUAUAAACGUGGACAAUAGUGUUCUCUCAAAAUCUGUAGCAAUCAAUGGAAAGAAGUAAAAGCUAAUCUCCUAACACAACAAUAUUCUCAGGUAUUUAUAGAGAAUAGGGGUCAUCUUUCUAUGGUAGGUACAAAAUUGACAGAGACAAUGGUACUGCUAGUAGUCAUCCAUUUAAUGCUGCUAUAGAAAGACCACCAAUAGGCACCCCUCAACUAUACUGGAAUUGUCACUCAUAAAUCCAGGGCUAGUAUGCCUAUAGAAGUGUUAGUAAUACAUCAGGUAGUUUUCUUUCCUUUAGAUGGGAUUUGGAAGAAUUAGUGAUACUAAAAACAUGCAGGCGUGAUUAGUUAAACCAUUACCGCUCAUUCUAACCUUACUGACUCAUAACAAUCAAGCCUAAAAACCAUGACCUGACCAUGGACAAAGACAAAGACAAAAUGGCCAAAAAGAAUUGUAACGAUAGUAUUGCGUACCAAUGAAAACUAAAUGGUAGUGUGAUGGUAAUGUGCAUUCAACCCUGGGUUUUUUUAUAGGCCACUUGAAAUUGGACAAGGAUUCAGAUUAGCACCUGAUCGGCAC
rnacentral:lncRNA from 1 species